GUAAAAAUAGUUUAAUUAAAAUAUUGUUUUUGUAAAACAAAGUUAAUAGUUUAUUUUUUUACU
rnacentral:tRNA from 1 species